ensembl:lncRNA
ACUGAGGUCACAAUUUUCCUCCAUUCUGAUGUUUGAUGUGAACUUCUUGAUGUUUACUGAAGCUCUUCACCUGUAUCUGGAUGAUUUUAUUCAUUGCACUGCUUUGAUUGUUUACUGGUUUUGUUUACUGUGUUUAUGGUUCAUUUGGAGAGUUUUCUGAUUGUUUACUGGUUUUGUUUACUGUGUUUAUGGUUUAGUCGGAGAGUUUUCUGAUUGUUUACUGGUUUUGUUUACUGUGUUUAUGGUUUAGUUGGAGAGUUUUCUGAUUGUUUACUGGUUUUGUUUACUGUGUUUAUGGUUUAGUCGGAGAGUUUUCUGAUUGUUUACUGGUUUUGUUUACUGUGUUUAUGGUUUAGUCGGAGAGUUUUCUGAUUGUUUACUGGUUUUGUUUACUGUGUUUAUGGUUCAGUUUGGAGAGUUUUCUGAUUGUUUACUGGUUUUGUUUACUGUGUUUAUGGUUUAGUCGGAGAGUUUUCUGAUUGUUUACUGGUUUUGUUUACUGUGUUUAUGGUUUAGUUGGAGAGUUUUCUGAUUGUUUACUGGUUUUGUUUACUGUGUUUAUGGUUUAGUCGGAGAGUUUUCUGAUUGUUUACUGGUUUUGUUUACUGUGUUUAUGGUUUAGUUGGAGAGUUUUCUGAUUGUUUACUGGUUUUGUUUACUGUGUUUAUGGUUUAGUCGGAGAGUUUUCUGAUUGUUUACUGGUUUUGUUUACUGUGUUUAUGGUUUAGUCGGAGAGUUUUCUGAUUGUUUACUGGUUUUGUUUGCUGUGUUUAUGGUUUAGUUGGAGAGUUUUCUGAUUGUUUACUGGUUUUGUUUACUGUGUUUAUGGUUUAGUUGUUCCAUGCUUUUGUUGCUGUUCUUUUUUGUUCUUUCAUGAUUCUGGCUUUGUUCUCUUUUGUAUUUUUGGUUUUGCUCCUGCUGUUGUUUGUUUGUUUGUUUGCUUUUUUGGGCUGUUUUUUUUGUUUUGCCUGUACUGUUUUUGGUUUUGCUUGCUGUUAUGUUUUUGCUUGUGUUGCUGUCCUAUCCUUUUUUUUUUUUUUUCCUGUUGUGAUGUAGGCUUUGUUCUCUAUUGUGUUCUUAGUUUAGCUCCUAUUUUUUGGUUGUUGUUUGCUUUUUGUUUGGUUUGUUUCGCUCAUUGUUGUGGUUUUGCUUGCUGCUUUGAUUUCGCUAUUAUUGUGCUGUUCUUUUUUUGUUGUUGUUUUGCUUCCUUGUUCAUUUAAUUAUUUAUUACUAUUUCUUUGCUGUUGUAUGAUUUCGGCUUUACCGUUCUCCUGCCUUUUUGCUGUUGUCUUUCGGUUUCAUUCUCCGUCGUGUGUGUGUGUGUGUGUGUGUGUGUGUUUUUUUUUUUUUUUCUUCUUUCUACUGUUAUUAUUUAUUUAUUUUUGCUCUCAGCUACUGCUCCGUUUUUGUUGUUGUCAUGUUUUUUUUCAUUGUUGCAUUUUAUGUCCUCUGAUUUGCUGGUGCGUUUUCGGCCUACGCGCCACCGUACAUGACAGCCAUGCUGUUGGGCUUGUGUAAAGGAUUUGCCUCUGAAGGGAGCACGUUUUCAGCCUCGGCCUUGGUUUCUGUCGUGUUCAAAACCCUGACC